rnacentral:rRNA from 1 species
UACGUAGGGCGCAAGCGUUGUCCGGAAUUAUUGGGCGUAAAGAGCGUGUAGGCGGCUCGAUAAGUCUGCUGUGAAAGUCCAGGGCUCAACCCUGGAAGGCCGGUGGAAACUGUCGGGCUAGAGUCCGGAAGAGGCGAGUGGAAUUCCCGGUGUAGCGGUGAAAUGCGCAGAUAUCGGGAGGAACACCAAUGGCGAAGGCAGCUCGCUGGGACGGUACUGACGCUGAGACGCGAAAGCGUGGGGAGCAAACAGG